AGGGAUUGCCCUAGUAACGGCGAGUGAAGCGGCAACAGCUCAAAUUUGAAAUCUGGCUCUUUCAGAGUCCGAGUUGUAAUUUGCAGAGGGCGCUUUGGUGUUGGCAGCGGUCCAAGUUCCUUGGAACAGGACGUCACAGAGGGUGAGAAUCCCGUACGUGGUCGCUAGCCUUCGCCGUGUAAAGCCCCUUCGACGAGUCGAGUUGUUUGGGAAUGCAGCUCUAAAUGGGAGGUAAAUUUCUUCUAAAGCUAAAUACUGGCCAGAGACCGAUAGCGCACAAGUAGAGUGAUCGAAAGAUGAAAAGCACUUUGGAAAGAGAGUCAAAUAGCACGUGAAAUUGUUGAAAGGGAAGCGCUUGCAGCCAGACUUGCCUGUAGUUGCUUAUCCGGACUUUUGUCCGGUGCACUCUUCUGCGGGCAGGCCAGCAUCAGUUUGGGCGGUUGGAUAAAGGUCUCUGUCAUGUACCUCUCUUCGGGGAGAACUUAUAGGGGAGACGACAUGCAACCAGCCUGGACUGAGGUCCGCGCAUCUGCUAGGAUGCUGGCGUAAUGGCUGUAAGCGGCCCGUCUUGAAACACGGACCAAGGAGUCUAACAUCUAUGCGAGUGUUUGGGUGUCAAGCCCAGACGCGUAAUGAAAGUGAACGGAGGUGGGAACCCUUUGGGUGCACCAUCGACCGAUCCUGAUGUCUUCGGAUGGAUUUGAGUAAGAGCAUGGCUGUUGGGACCCGAAAGAUGGUGAACUAUGCUUGAAUAGGGUGAAGCCAGAGGAAACUCUGGUGGAGGCUCGCAGCGGUUCUGACGUGCAAAUCGAUCGUCAAA
rnacentral:rRNA from 1 species